UACGGAGGGUGCAAGCGUUAUCCGGAUUCACUGGGUUUAAAGGGUGUGUAGGCGGGUAUUUAAGUCAGUGGUGAAAUCUCCGGGCUCAACCCGGAAACUGCCAUUGAUACUAUUUAUCUUGAAUUCUGUUGAGGUAGGCGGAAUAUAUCAUGUAGCGGUGAAAUGCUUAGAUAUGACAUAGAACACCAAUUGCGUAGGCAGCUUACUACACGAUCAUUGACGCUGAGGCACGAAAGCGUGGGGAGCAAACAGG
rnacentral:rRNA from 1 species